GGGGAGUUGGCUCAGUGGUAGAGCACUUGCCUUGCAUGCAUGAGGCCCUGGGUUCGAUUCCCCAGCACCACA
rnacentral:tRNA from 1 species